GGUGGUUCAGUGGUAGAAUGCUCGCCUGCCACGCGAGCGAACCGGGAUCGAUUUCCUCC
rnacentral:tRNA from 1 species